UUCUCCUUAACCCUGCCUGGAACUGGGCUCUACCCUAUUCCACCCCCAAUGCAAGGAGUAACGCCUUCAACCUCUUUCUUGCGUCUGCUCACGCAGCUCUCCCUUCUGGCCAUGUCCUGUGUCCUGUGGUCAAAGAGAUGAAUUUUCUACCCUCCCUAUGUGCUUGCUUCCUUUUUUCUUUUUCCUUAUUCCCUUUGAGUUUAGUGGGGAGGGGAGAAUCCUCGGAUGCCAGGACAGCAGCAUGGACUCGAGGUAACACAGAGAGGCUGAAUAAUUCAUCUCUGUUCUUAACUCAGCAUAAAAGCCCGACCCCCCCAGUUUCCUCUCCAGUCUUCCCUCUAGACCGGGGUCUUCAGACUCCUGCCCUCACCUUAAGUGGAAACCGGGUGAACGCCACAUCAAGAGGAGCCCUGAAAGUUGCAUCUGGAUGAAAAGGGAGCCUCUUGGACACUCCAGCAGCAGGCUAUGAGAGAAGUGCCAGGGUCCCACCUCUGCCCUCCUGAGUCAGACCAUCCGCCAUUCUGACAGAUGUAAAGUGAAGAUUUAAGCUUCCAUGUUAUGAAACUAUAAAGAGAAGAGCAAAUUAAACCCGAAGCAAACAGGGAAGAAUAUAAUGAUGCCACAAGAGAUCUUUCUUGGUUUUUCAUGGUGAGAACUUGCUGGAGUUCCUGGAAACAAAACCCAUGGAAGUGUUGGUGCUUCCCAAGACUGCAGUCUCCAGGAGCUUUACUCACCCUAGCCCCACCCAGUCUCCAGGAAUUCAUCAA